rnacentral:rRNA from 1 species
GAUGAACGCUGGCGGCGUGCCUAAUACAUGCAAGUAGAACGCUGAAGGAGGAGCUUGCUCUUCUGGAUGAGUUGCGAACGGGUGAGUAACGCGUAGGUAACCUGCCUGGUAGCGGGGGAUAACUAUUGGAAACGAUAGCUAAUACCGCAUGACAACAGUUAUUGCAUGAUAACUGUUUAAAAGGGGCAACUGCUCCACUACCAGAUGGACCUGCGUUGUAUUAGCUAGUUGGUGAGGUAACGGCUCACCAAGGCGACGAUACAUAGCCGACCUGAGAGGGUGAGCGGCCACACUGGGACUGAGAAACGGCCCAGACGCCUACGGGAGGCAGCAGUAGGGAAUCUUCGGCAAUGGACGGAAGUCUGAACGAGCAACGCCGCGUGAGUGAAGAAGGUGUUCGGAUCGUAAAGCUCUGUUGUAAGAGAAGAACGAGUGUGAGAGUGGAAAGUUCACACUGUGACGGUAUCUUACCAGAAAGGGACGGCUAACUACGU